AAUAAGCGCAGCCAUAUGUUUCUGUGUCAAAUUUUGAUUGUCCGUCUUAUUUAAAAAGAUUUUAUGAUUCGUAUUUUUAGUGUUAUUAGAUUACAAAACAUGAAUAGUACUUUUAUGUGUGACUUAUGUUUUUUAGUAUCUUGAAAAAAAAAAUCAAAUAAGACGGACGAUUAAAGUUGGACACGGAAACUCAUGGUUACGCUUAUU
rfam:Oryza sativa Japonica Group DNA, chromosome 12, cultivar: Nipponbare, complete sequence.